UUGGAGGGCAAGUCUGGUGCCAGCAGCCGCGGUAAUUCCAGCUCCAAUAGCGUAUAUUAAAGUUGUUGCAGUUAAAAAGCUCGUAGUUGAAUUUCGGGAUCAAUGUUUCGGUCAUGCCGUUGGUAUGUACUGAUAUUAUUGGUUUCUCACCUUCUAAAGAACCGUAAUGCCAUUAAUUUGGUGUCACGGGGAAUUAGGACUGUUACCUUGAAAAAAUUAGAGUGUUUAAAGCAGGCUCACGCUUGAAUACAUUAGCAUGGAAUAAUGAAAUAGGACAUCCGAUUCUAUUUUGUUGGUUUCUAGGAUCGAUGUAAUGAUUAAUAGGGAUAGUUGGGGGCAUUAGUAUUCAAUUGUCAGAGGUGAAAUUCUUGGAUUUAUUGAAGACUAACUACUGCGAAAGCAUUUGCCAAGGAUGUUUUCAUUAAUCAAGAACGAAAGUUAGGGGAUCGAAGACGAUCAGAUACCGUCGUAGUCUUAACCAUGAACUAUGCCGACUAGGGAUCGGAUGAUGUUAAUUUUUUAAUGACUCAUUCGGCGCCUUACGGGAAACCAAAGUGUUUGGGUUC
rnacentral:rRNA from 1 species